rnacentral:rRNA from 1 species
GAUGAACGCUGGCGGCGUGCCUAAUACAUGCAAGUCGAGCGAACAGACGAGGAGCUUGCUCCUCUGACGUUAGCGGCGGACGGGUGAGUAACACGUGGAUAACCUACCUAUAAGACUGGGAUAACUUCGGGAAACCGGAGCUAAUACCGGAUAAUAUAUUGAACCGCAUGGUUCAAUAGUGAAAGACGGUUUUGCUGUCACUUAUAGCUGGAUCCGCGCCGCAUUAGCUAGUUGGUAAGGUAACGGCUUACCAAGGCAACGAUGCGUAGCCGACCUGAGAGGGUGAUCGGCCACACUGGAACUGAGACACGGUCCAGACUCCUACGGGAGGCAGCAGUAGGGAAUCUUGCGCAAAGGGCGAAAGCCUGACGGAGCAACGCCGCGUGAGUGAUGAAGGUCUUCGGAUCGUAAAACUCUGUUAUUAGGGAAGAACAAAUGUGUAAGUAACUAUGCACGUCUUGACGGUACCUAAUCAGAAAGCCACGGCUAACUACGUG